GUGGGGAAUCUUGCGCAAUGGGCGAAAGCCUGACGCAGCCAUGCCGCGUGAAUGAUGAAGGUCUUAGGAUUGUAAAAUUCUUUCACCGGGGACGAUAAUGACGGUACCCGGAGAAGAAGCCCCGGCUAACUUCGUGCCAGCAGCCGCGGUAAUACGAAGGGGGCUAGCGUUGCUCGGAAUUACUGGGCGUAAAGGGAGCGUAGGCGGACAUUUAAGUCAGGGGUGAAAUCCCGGGGCUCAACCUCGGAAUUGCCUUUGAUACUGGGUGUCUUGAGUGUGAGAGAGGUAUGUGGAACUCCGAGUGUAGAGGUGAAAUUCGUAGAUAUUCGGAAGAACACCAGUGGCGAAGGCGACAUACUGGCUCAUUACUGACGCUGAGGCUCGAAAGCGUGGGGAGCAAACAGGAUUAGAAACCCUAGUAGUCC
rnacentral:rRNA from 1 species